rnacentral:misc_RNA from 1 species
GUAAAUCAAAUUAAAUUUGAUUGCCGUGGAAGUAUUUGGUCUUUAGUAAGUUGGAUUCUGAAAUUACCAAAUUGCUUUAUAAUUUAGGAGUGAAAUGUAAAUAUGAAUGGUGAGAAUUCAGAGGAUUAUUUUUAAGAGAAAAAGGAAAAAAAGAAAAAUGAAAAAAGAGUGACAUAAGAGAUACAUUGUUAGAAAACAAUUUUCUAUGUCCUAGGAGGUUUGAACUUUUAAAUUUCAGUCUUUCUUUAUGCUGUUUUAUAAUAAGGUCUUAUUAGGUUAUUCUAGCAAUGGGGAA